CCCAGAGGGAUGUGUGAAGACUUUCUACUGAUGUUUAGUCAGCCAGGACCCAGUUGCUCCUCCCCAACCCCCUGCCUCUCUGCUUCUCUGCCAGGCAGCUGAGCAUCUACACCAGGAGACGGGCUUCUCUGGAAAAUCCUCCACCCAACCACCCUAGGAGACAUGAAGGCAUAUUACAGGACCACCAAGAAUCUGCGGUCUCGGGAGCAGAUGUGAUCAAGAUGUAUUACUCUCAGUUCCUUCUCCAGCACCAUGUCUACCUGCAGGCCACCAUGUUUCACCAUGAUGAUAGUGGACUAAACUUCUGGAACUAUGUAGAAUUCUCAGCUCCUUCUCCAGAACCAUGUCUGCCUGCAUGCUGCCAUGUCCCACCAUGAUGAUAAUGGACUGAACCUCUGAUCUGACUGGUUCUUGGUUCUCUCAUGUCUGUUACUUUCUGGAAGAAUGCAAAGAAGGCAGCUCUCUGGGAGACCCUGUGAAGUAAAUGCCAGAUGCCACCGACUCUCAUUAUUUCACAAGAUGGAAAGUGAAGCAGGACCGUCCCGAAUACACAGGAGAUCCUUGGAUUUUUGCAGUGAUAUGGAAUGGGCGGCCCAGAGCUUGGACAAGCUUUCUUCAUUCCCGAUGUCAGGGGCCUGCUUGUGUUUUCCCUGGUCCUCUGAACCUAUGCUUCUCCAAGAAGCUGCCAAUGCCGUCUCCCCGUAUCUGAUGUCAAGUGGUAUUUGCUCUGCCCAUGGCCCUGAGCUAUAUAGCCCAAAGAAGGCGGUACUUCCUGCUGGUGUACAGGACCUCUUAUAAGGGGUUGGAGAAGAGUCACAUGGCCCCUUCUCCCUGCUCCCCGCUCCUGCUUGAGAGGUGGAUUCGCUCCUGUCAGAUCAGAGGACGACUUCUGCUGUCUACUCCGUUCUGUAAUUGCUGUCUACUCCGUUCCGUAAUCGCUGUCUACUCCGUUCCGUAAUCGUGAGUGUAUUUCCUCAAUUUAUAUGUUAAUAAAUUCUGUUACCCAUUUAAUAGACUCACGUGGAUUGAUCAUAAUAUUUAAUAUCAUGCCCUAGCUUGAUAGUCCUUAGGUCAAGUCUUCACAGCAGGAGAUAAGAUUUCAGAGCAGCUUGGGGAUGAGGGCUCUCUGAGAUCUCUGUCUUAGGCUCCCCAGCCCAGGUAAUGACAACUUUGUAAAAAAAAAAAAAAAAAAAAAAAAGCUAAGGAACUCUGGGGCAACUUUUUCUUGAGCCUUAAGGCCAUACUACCCAGAAAGCUUUUGUUUGGCUAGAAUAGUGUCUCCCUAGCAUCCCACACACACUCUGCUCACAUAGUCUCAGAAACAAGCAUUCACAACAGAGUCAGGACGCAUUCACGGACUAAGUUCUGUGUGGGAAGAAGCCUAGGCAGGCCAGAUGGUGAUCCCUAGACAACCUCAUGUGAUCAUCCAGGUCUUCAGUACCUUCCUAGCUGCAAGUGAAAAACCCCUGCUGUGCUCUAUAGGGGGCCUGGAAUCACUGACACUGGAUCUGUGAUGCCCCAAGCUAAGCACUUUAAGCCUAUGGUCAUGUCUGUUUUGUUCGCUACUUUUUGAGUUCCUCAUAUCUGUGGGGGUGGACACAUAGUAGACAGCAGUCUCCAUGCCCAGCCUUUUCUCCAUUGUAGGAAGGAACUGGAGCCAGGGAAGGAGCUGACAGGCUUCAUUCUCGGGGAUCCAGGAAGGAACAAUUGAUAACUGGAAGUUGGGCCUGUGGGUCUGUGGUGGGGAGAUGCUGAGGGCGAAAGGCAGCACCAGGGAGGGCAGUGAGGAAGACUUGGAGCUAGCACCAUAACCUACCCUUUCCUGAAACUGACCCCAACCCUGUCCUUCUCCUCCUGUUCGCUUUCUUCGUCUCUUGUUCCUGUUGAUUUGGCCAAUGGAUAUGAUGUGCAUUCCAUCUCCAUGCCUGUUCUCCCUAGAGUCUCUCUCCUGCUUCUGCCCCUGUGAGGUCCCCACACAACGCUCUGUGUGAGCAUUCCAGGAGUAUCCAGCAUCCUUUGGCUAAGCAUCGGCACAGGGAAGGUGGAAAGCAGGUCUGUAUAGGUCGGUUGCAGAGAGUAUCAGAUGAGGGCCCAUGAAUGGCAGAAGCCACCAAUCCCUACUUUCAGUGAUGCUAUGCUGAUGUCAUCUCAAUACAUGGCCGCAGCUCUGUGGGAGUGUAAGAGUUGAUUGAUAGGAAUGGCUUGAAUCAUAGACUUGUCACUAGUUAGCUAGAAGACUUUGGACAGAUUGCUUGCCUUGUUUGUGCCUAGAUUUCACAUGUGCAGGGGGUCCCUGAGGUCUUGAUUCAAUCAUGAGUCUUGUAGUGGUCCUGAUGACUGACAUGCCAAGGACUAGAUCUCAUGUUGUCCCUUUUUCCUUUUCCUCCUAACCAGCCAAGAUCACAGAAAAUGACAUCAAUCCUUAGUUUAUUUUCUUGCUCUGGUCAUUUCUGUGGCCCAAUACAUUGUAUCUAGUAACUUCUGGAUUGCUUCCCCUUAACUUGCCUAGAAUCCCCCGAGGGUUGGUGUUCUUCCCCUGAUACUAUUCCAGUGUCUGCAGCUCUCCCUGGGGGUGGUCUUGUCCCUGUCUCUGCAUAGUCCUCACAUGAGCCACACCAGAGUCCAGAUAGAGUUGAGUACACUGAGGAUCUGGGAACCCUAAGAAAGCAACAAGGAACUCUUAUCUCACCAUACUGGAAUUACAGAGGCCAGGAGCUACAAGAGACUCUCAGCCCUCCCCAUCCAACUCCCACCACAUUUAAAAUUAAUUGAGGCCUAGGGACCUGGGCUAAUUGCUCUAAGGCACCUGGUUCCUGGGGGCUAGGCUGGAAACAUAAUCAUGGCUUCCGAAUGUACAAUUUGACAAUGGUUCUCCACACCCAUAAUAUAAGAAAUGAGGUCUUCUAGCACUUUCUAUAGUUUAAAACCCUUUCUGAGGCAUCACGAAAAAGUACGCAGAGAGGCUGUUGGCCACAUCCUCAAACUGAUUCCCAUUUGGGAUAUCAAGGAGCACUCUGGGGGGGGGGGUGCUAUCAGAACUUCCAUGGACAAUCAUGAAACACUUCUAGAAAGUGUGAUUUCAUAAACCAGGACUGGAGAAGACUCAAGGCUCUACCAAAGUGGAGUAAUGCCACACUUUGACUGGGUUCACAAAAGAAGAAAAGGGCAGAUUCAGACAGGGUGAUGCACUAGGGUGUAGGGCCGAGGCAUGGCUCUAAGACAGCCUUACAUGGCCGAGUAGGGGCUUAGCGUGGUACUGGGAAACAGCUCUGGUCACGUGGCUGCUGAUGGCCUGCACUUUCUCUGACGGCUGCAUCUGCUGGUCACCUCCAUGAGUCACAUUAACAACAGCUGGACAAAGGGGCACUACUGAUGUGCGUGAGCUCUAAGUUAUGGGCAUACCAAGGAGAUGGUCUAGUUAGAGGCAGGGGUUUUGAUGUGACUUGCUUGGAUGCUGUAGAUUUUACUUCAUAGAGCUUUACAGUUGACAUAGGGCUUUUAAAUAGGUGCUGUUACAUGAGCAAACAUCUGUACACACGGAUUUUAUAUAGGGAACUGUAUAUUUGCUUUGUCAUUGUUUUCACUGAAAACGGAAAUAGAGAUGUUAUGGCAGAACGAGAGCUAUGGCUUUUGCCAGCAGUACAAGAACCAAGAGGAACUCCUGGGGCUGCAAUGGGUCUUCUGCCAUCAUGGGAAGCCGUCGGCUGUCCUUCCUUGUGUUUUCCACUGCAGAGCUCUGCAUUGGUUCCUGCACCAGUCUGCACUACUAUCUACAGAAGGAUGGCGGAGCCCAUGCCUCAGUCUUCCUUUUUACUGCUCUCCCCGCAGGACCCUCAGGGCAGCACAGUGCAUGUCAUCGGUGCUAAGCAGAGUCUGAGACUUAAAUAACAACAGGAAUAUAACUUAGGGUUCCCAGACUGCAUGCUGGGAGUCUACACAGAAAGGAAGUUAGCAGCAGUUGUGGAAGACUGAUUUUGUUUUUAAUUAUCUGAGGGUUUACUGGAAGGAGUCAAGCCUAAGGGUUUACAUGCAUGCAUAUGUGCACACACACACACACACACACACACACACACACACACACACACACACACACA